rnacentral:rRNA from 1 species
GUGAGGAAUAUUGGUCAAUGGGCGCAAGCCUGAACCAGCCAUGCCGCGUGCAGGAAGACGGUCCUAUGGAUUGUAAACUGCUUUUAUUUGGGAAUAAACCUCCUUACGUGUAGGGAGCUGAAGGUACCAAAUGAAUAAGCACCGGCUAACUCCGUGCCAGCAGCCGCGGUAAUACGGAGGGUGCAAGCGUUAUCCGGAAUCAUUGGGUUUAAAGGGUCCGCAGGCGGUCAUAUAAGUCAGUGGUGAAAGCCUACAGCUCAACUGUAGAACUGCCAUUGAUACUGUAUGACUUGAAUUCGAUCGAAGUGGGCGGAAUGUGACAUGUAGCGGUGAAAUGCUUAGAUAUGUCACAGAACACCGAUAGCGAAGGCAGCUCACUAGGUCUGGAUUGACGCUCAGGGACGAAAGCGUGGGGAGCAAACAGGAUUAGAAACCCGGGUAGUCC